rnacentral:ncRNA from 3 species
UAGACUGUGAGCUCCUUGAGG